UGAUAGUUCCUUUACUACAUGGUAUAACUGUGGUAAUUCUAGAGCUAAUACAUGCUUAAAAUCUCGACCCUUUGGAAGAGAUGUAUUUAUUAGAUAAAAAAUCAAUGUCUUCGGACUCUUUGAUGAUUCAUAAUAACUUUUCGAAUCGCAUGGCCUUGUGCUGGCGAUGGUUCAUUCAAAUUUCUGCCCUAUCAACUUUCGAUGGUAGGAUAGUGGCCUACCAUGGUUUCAACGGGUAACGGGGAAUAAGGGUUCGAUUCCGGAGAGGGAGCCUGAGAAACGGCUACCACAUCCAAGGAAGGCAGCAGGCGCGCAAAUUACCCAAUCCUAAUACAGGGAGGUAGUGACAAUAAAUAACGAUACAGGGCCCAUUCGGGUCUUGUAAUUGGAAUGAGUACAAUGUAAAUACCUUAACGAGGAACAAUUGGAGGGCAAGUCUGGUGCCAGCAGCCGCGGUAAUUCCAGCUCCAAUAGCGUAUAUUAAAGUUGUUGC
rnacentral:rRNA from 1 species